CUGCACCCCGCUUUCCAUCGCGAAGCUCACCCAUGCACCUCGGAGGACGGGGGGCAGCACAGUCACUCCACCUCCGAGUGCCCAUACCGAGAGGGGCCCCUCGGGCGGAGAUUCAUAACCACAGAAAGUGGACAAGAGAAGCUUCUUAAAUGCCAGUCAUCAAGAAAAACGAAAGCCCAUGAGUUGGGGCUGAAGGGCUGAGAGCAGGUCCCUGACACCC
rfam:Myotis lucifugus cont2.40460, whole genome shotgun sequence.